UUUUUGUUCAGUGGUUCCAAGUGACCCAUCCAAAUCCAAGCAUGAAGAAAACUGUCAUUUUCUGCUAUCUUAUUGCCUACGUCAUACUUCUGUCUGCAUCAGGAUGUGGGGAGAUACACCACAAGUUACCAACAAAUGAUGAAGAAUGUAUCAAAUGGGGAGCUUUCUGUGGCUUCCUCAUCUGUGUCACACCAGAUAUUGCCCGAGGCCAGUGUGGUUUUGCACGUCCCUGCUGUUUCCGAUUUUAGAGAACAAUGAAUUACAGCUUCUACAUCUAACCAUAAUGGAUGACACCAACAAUACAAUGCUUCAUCUUCAGAUCCAGUGAGACCUCGAGUCACUGAAGAUGGCAAGAGAAAAAAAUAAAAUGAAACUGAUG